rnacentral:rRNA from 1 species
AAGGAAUUGACGGGGCCGCACAAGCGGUGGAGCAUGUGGUUAAUUCGAAGCAACGCGAAGAACCUUACCAGGUCUUGACAUCCCUGACAACCCGAGAGAUCGGGCGUUCCCCCUUCGGGGGACAGGGUGACAGGUGGUGCAUGGUUGUCGUCAGCUCGUGUCGUGAGAUGUUGGGUUAAGUCCCGCAACGAGCGCAACCCUCGACCUUAGUUGCCAGCAUUCAGUUGGGCACUCUAAGGUGACUGCCGGCUAAAAGUCGGAGGAAGGUGGGGAUGACGUCAAAUCAUCAUGCCCCUUAUGACCUGGGCUACACACGUGCUACAAUGGGCGGUACAAAGGGUCGCGAACCCGCGAGGGGGAGCCAAUCCCAAAAAGCCGCUCUCAGUUCGGAUUGCAGGCUGCAACUCGCCUGCAUGAAGCCGGAAUCGCUAGUAAUCGCGGAUCAGCAUGCCGCGGUGAAUACGUUCCCGGGCCUU